rnacentral:rRNA from 1 species
AGGGUUUGAUCAUGGCUCAGGAUGAACGCUGGCGGCGUGCUUAACACAUGCAAGUCGAACGAAGCGCUUAAACGGAUUUCUUCGGAUUGAAGUUUUUGCGACUGAGUGGCGGACGGGUGAGUAACGCGUGGGUAACCUGCCUCAUACAGGGGGAUAACAGUUAGAAAUGACUGCUAAUACCGCAUAAGCGCACAGUGCUGCAUGGCACAGUGUGAAAAACUCCGGUGGUAUGAGAUGGACCCGCGUCUGAUUAGCUAGUUGGUGGGGUAACGGCCUACCAAGGCGACGAUCAGUAGCCGGCCUGAGAGGGUGAACGGCCACAUUGGGACUGAGACACGGCCCAA